rnacentral:rRNA from 1 species
UGGGGAAUAUUGGACAAUGGGCGAAAGCCUGAUCCAGCCAUGCCGCGUGUGUGAAGAAGGUCUUCGGAUUGUAAAGCACUUUAAGCUGGGAGGAAGGGCAGUAAGCGAAUACCUUGCUGUUUUGACGUUACCGACAGAAUAAGCACCGGCUAACUCUGUGCCAGCAGCCGCGGUAAUACAGAGGGUGCAAGCGUUAAUCGGAAUUACUGGGCGUAAAGCGCGCGUAGGUGGUUCGUUAAGUUGAAUGUGAAAGCCCCGGGCUCAACCUGGGAACUGCAUCCAAAACUGGCGAGCUAGAGUAGGGCAGAGGGUGGUGGAAUUUCCUGUGUAGCGGUGAAAUGCGUAGAUAUAGGAAGGAACACCAGUGGCGAAGGCGACCACCUGGGCUCAUACUGACACUGAGGUGCGAAAGCGUGGGGAGCAAACAGG